GCCUAGCCAGCUCAGUUGGUAGAGCAUGAGACUCUUAAUUUUGGGGUCAUGAGUUCAAGCCCCAUGUUGGGUG
rnacentral:tRNA from 1 species